ACUAACGGGAUGCCUUAGUACGGCGAGUGAAGCGGCAAAAGCUCAAAUUUGAAAUCUGGUACCUUCGGUGCCCGAGUUGUAAUUUGGAGAGGGCAACUUUGGGGCCGUUCCUUGUCUAUGUUCCUUGGAACAGGACGUCAUAGAGGGUGAGAAUCCCGUGUGGCGAGGAGUGCGGUUCUUUGUAAAGUGCCUUCGAAGAGUCGAGUUGUUUGGGAAUGCAGCUCUAAGUGGGUGGUAAAUUCCAUCUAAAGCUAAAUAUUGGCGAGAGACCGAUAGCGAACAAGUACAGUGAUGGAAAGAUGAAAAGAACUUUGAAAAGAGAGUGAAAAAGUACGUGAAAUUGUUGAAAGGGAAGGGCAUUUGAUCAGACAUGGUGUUUUGUGCCCUCUGCUCCUUGUGGGUAGGGGAAUCUCGCAUUUCACUGGGCCAGCAUCAGUUUUGGUGGCAGGAUAAAUCCAUAGGAAUGUAGCUUGCCUCGGUAAGUAUUAUAGCCUGUUGGGAAUACUGCCAGCUGGGACUGAGGACUGCGACGUAAGUCAAGGAUGCUGGCAUAAUGGUUAUAUGCCGCCCGCA
rnacentral:rRNA from 1 species